rnacentral:rRNA from 1 species
UGCUUGUCUCAAAGCUUAAGCCAUGCACGUCUCAGUACGAACUGAGCUAAUGCGAAACCGCAAAAGGCUCAGUAAACCGGUCAUAGUUUACCGGAUAAAUCCCACUGACGUGGAUAACUGUGGUAAUUCUAGAGCUAAUACAUGCAAACAAGUCCCGACCAGCGAUGGGGAGGACGCUUUUAUUGGAUCAAAACCUUUCGCCCGGCCUGCCCGGGCGUCAGCUUGAUGACUCUAGAUAACACAGUAGAUCGCACGGUCUCAGUACCGGCGACCCAUCCUUCAAAUGUCUGACUUAUCAGCUGUCGAUGGUAGACUCUGUGUCUACCAUGGCGCUCACGGGUGACGGGGAAUCAGGGUUCGAUUCCGGAGAGGGAGCCUGAGAAACGGCUACCACAUCCAAGGAAGGCAGCAGGCACGCAAAUUACCCACUCCCGGCACGGGGAGGUAGUGACAAAAAAUAACGAUACGGGACUCAUCCGAGGCCCCGUAAUCGGAAUGAGAACACCCUAAAUCCUUUAACGAGGAUCUAUUGGAGGGCAAGUCUGGUGCCAGCAGCCGCGGUAAUUCCAGCUCCAAUAGCGUAUAUUAAAGUUGUUGCGGUUAAAAAGCUCGUAGUUGGUUCUGCGUGCCACGCUGUCGGUUCACCGCCUGCCGGUGCAACUGGCAUGCCGUGGCAUGUCCUGUCGGUGGCGGAUAGGCUUCGCGGCGCGCCCUACGCGGUAUACCAGCGUGUAGGUUGCUGCGCCGCGUCGUCCUUGUACGCCGGCUCAAUCCUACCUAGGUGCUCUUUACCGAGUGUCGAGGUAGGCC